UACGUAGGGUGCGAGCGUUAAUCGGAAUUACUGGGCGUAAAGCGUGCGCAGGCGGUUUUGCAAGCCGGAUGUGAAAUCCCCGGGCUCAACCUGGGAAUGGCAUUUGGGACUGCAAGGCUCGAGUGCGGCAGAGGAGACUGGAAUUCCUGGUGUAGCGGUGGAAUGCGCAGAUAUCAGGAGGAACACCCAUAGCGAAGGCAGCUUGCUGGGACGUUACUGACGCUAAGGCGCGAAAGCGUGGGGAGCGAACAGG
rnacentral:rRNA from 1 species